rnacentral:rRNA from 1 species
CAGCCGCCGCGGUAAUACGAAGGGGGCUAGCGUUGUUCGGAAUUACUGGGCGUAAAGCGUGCGUAGGUGGUGGUUUAAGUCCGUUGUGAAAGCCCUGGGCUCAACCUGGGAAUUGCAGUGGAUACUGGGUCACUAGAGUGUGGUAGAGGAUAGUGGAAUUUCCGGUGUAGCAGUGAAAUGCGUAGAGAUCGGAAGGAACAUCUGUGGCGAAGGCGACUAUCUGGGCCAACACUGACACUGAGGCACGAAAGCGUGGGGAGCAAACAGGAUUAGAUACCCCUGUAGUCCCUGUCUCUUAUAC